AUAGAGAGGGUGCGAGCGUUAAUCGGAAUUACUGGGCGUAAAGCGCGCGUAGGCGGUCUAUUAAGUCAGAUGUGAAAUCCCAGGGCUCAACCUUGGAACUGCAUCUGAUACUGGUAGACUAGAGUUUUGGAGAGGGAAGUAGAAUUUCAGGUGUAGCGGUGAAAUGCAUAGAGAUCUGAAGGAAUACCAGUGGCGAAGGCGACUUCCUGGCCAAAAACUGACGCUGAGGUGCGAAAGCGUGGGUAGCAAACGGGAUUAGAUACCCUAGUAGUCC
rnacentral:rRNA from 1 species